UUGUUCUUGUUAUCUCUGAAUUUGGAAUCAAUAAUUGAAAUUCAUGAAUUGGACAACUUGAAGCUGUUUGCUUUUCUGAAAGAAUGGAAUUUUUCAUUUUUCAAAAUAAAAAAUACUUGGAGAAAAAGAUGGAAGUUAAGGAGUUUUCAGAUUAAAACUUCGAGAAAAAGAAGAAAUCGAAAGCUUUAGGUCUUAUUUACUAUGUAAUUGCUCAAUUAAGACUAUCUAUUGUACAACUUUACAGUUUUUUAUUUAUUUAUUUUGUGACAUUCGUUGACAAUAUUGCGUUGAUGGUGGCAAUUUCUUCCUGUCACUUGAUUAUUUUCUUAAUAUUUCUUAAAAUAGACUGCAAGUGCGGUGAACCAAGGGAAACUAGUACCCGAGGAUGUAAGUUUUGGGUUGUUGUCGAAGAGACUGGAGGAAGGGUACUAAGGGGUAAAACUGGCUUUAUUUUGGAUGGAGUACCUUUCAUGAGAAUUCAGGCUGUACGAAAUCUUGGACCGAUUUACUGAUAUAGACUUGGUGCUGAACCUUAAAUGCACAGAGUAUAUUCUUGCUCCUUUUCGUCAAUUUUUUCCAUUUUUUUCCAUUUUUUCUAUCACUUUGUGCAGUUACACGACUGAAGGUAGACAACCCCUAUAUGGCACUUCGUUGAUUGACCAUGGCUGCAUUGAGCAAUGGAUUGACUUUGCCACUUCUAAGAUCGAUGUCAAUAUAGUGUCAUUUUUUUACUUGCAUAAUGAACUCUUUGUAAAGAAUUUUUUUCGAUUUAUUGAAAUGAUGUGUUUAAUUUUUUUUGUAUGGAUUU